rnacentral:lncRNA from 1 species
UACCAUGAAAGGAAUAACAUCAACAUUUCAAGAAAUUGCCAAAGCUCAAUGGAGUAUUCAUGAGUCCAUCAACAGUUGGCAUGCCUUUCACUAAUUAUCCAGUAACAAAUGCCACUUUUCAACAAAGCCUACUAUCUAUUACUAUCAUUCAGCUUGCAAUCUUUCAUCCUAUCCUCACACCAAUGUUACUGUUAUUUAAGAAACAAAAGAAAAUAAAGCUCCAAUUCCAAUCAAAGUGUCGCCUAUCAAGUUAUCAGAAAAUGAAGGGGAAGAAUGAUGAUGGAGGAGAAAAGGAGGGAAACAACCACCCAACAAACCUUAACAAGCUUAGAUUAAUGCCAAAUGAAAUACAAACCAUGUUUUGAGAUUCUGUACAUCUAUAUUAGGGAUGGGAGUGAAACAAACACCAUUUGAAACUAAUGAAGCCUUAACAGAUGCAUUAGGAUGCUAACUCUAGAACAUGAACAGAGUUUAUUUAGAUGAAGCUAAAUGUUAGCCAACAUGCAUAUCAAUAGAAUCCUUCUGAAGGCCCAAACAGAAAUCACUAGAAUCAAGCAGCCAAGACCUUUCCUUCCAAUUUAUCACAGAGAAACGGACCAACGCUCGUGCCUUUCUAAAUUAAGAAUAUCAAAUGGAACCCAUACGAUCAGUGGUAACAGAUAUAGAACAAAUAUACUAGACUGAAAAUCUUCUAAGAAGUAUGACUCAUGAACAUCUUUUUGUUGCAUACCUCACAGUUCACACAAGCACUAACUGUAAGAAACUCAAAACAAGAGGGGAAAAUGAGGCUUUGCCUCUGGUUUCAGAAUUAAACCUUCAUUCACUUUCAUUCAAGGGCCAUUCAACUCAGAUACACCCAGUACUGGACCACGACAUUGUUCAGACAAAUGUUCAUAGUAUCAAUUCUAUGCUAUAUAUGAGGAACUUAACUUUAAAAAGUUUUAAUCAUUAGGAAGGGGUUUAACAUGGGUUAAGCUCAGGCCGUGGGAUUAAGCUUACAAUCAAAGAACACAAGAUAUGGACUUAGCUAAUAUCAUUCAAAAUGAGGAACAUCUCGCUUAACCAAACGACAAGUUGUCACACAAAUGCACAUUUUAAGUUAAAAAAAACAAAUAAGCAGACCUGGACAACUGCACUUCCUCGUCAAUUGUAUAACUUGAAACUUAAACUUUCAGGUCUAAUAGAAUUAUCAACUCAAGCACAUAGGAUCUACACCAAACGGUUAAUGUUCACAAUCACUCUAUGUUUUGACACAUGAAUUCCAACACCAAUUAUUUCCCGAUCAAAUAGGGCUAUCAGUUGACAUAGGGACUCAGCAGAACAAGGAACAGUAACAAGUAGACUGGAUUAUCAAUAGGCAGAAAACAAUACUUGUUUCCAGCACUCUUUUGGGCUCCAACUGAGAAGAAUGUACUAAAUGUUCAUAAAAAUCACAACAUAACACGUCGCUAGAAUGAGAUUCGGCUAACAUUUUCACAACUACCCAAGCUUCAACCAAACAAAGCAAACUAAUGAAACAGACAGGAAGAAUUCGAAAGUAAAAGCGUUGCAGAUUCGUGCUCUGCUAGCAACCACAGGUUUCAUCAAAAUGUAACUUAUCACAUCGACAAUGCAUAAAUUUUAGCUUAAUCAAGACUGAACUUCUUAACCAUGUUUUAAACCAUUUAAACAAAGUAGUACAGGAGAGGAAAUGCACCUGAAUGCGCAAAACUUCAACUACUUCCAAGAGCAGAAUACAAGAAGGUUCAGUAGUGGAAAUCCAAAAAACAAAGCAAUAGUAGAGAAACAUGACUUAGCAGCCACGGAGGAAACUCGACCAGCAGCUCUCAACAGCGAUGAGCUCGCUUAAAUCAUCUUCACUUGAAUGGAAAUCAUGGAAGGAAAAUGGAACUUUUUUUUUCGAAUUUUCAGAGUUUUGGAAGCAAACUAAGAACAAGCAAAAUAAAAGAACUCGAAAAUUUUCCCGUUCUCUUUCAGAAAUCGAAAAGAAAACAGAAUGAAUAAAACCUAAGAAAACUCAUAACCAAACCUCCAUUUUUUCUUCCUCUGAUUUUUUACCCCAGAAUUCUCUGAAAUCCUCUGCCCUCAAAAUCGGAUGAGGUCCCUUUUGAAAACGAGCCUCUGAUGAAUGUGGGGUUCGGAUUGAGUGAAAUCAAUCCAACGCCUCACACUCAUCCAACGAAUCGUUCUCAGAACCUUCCAAUCGCGUGCUAUAUCUCAAAUUCGAGCGAGUGAGGGGGAGGAAAAUCUUUGGUGUCAGAAACCGUUACACUUGUGGUAGGAGGAGAGAAGGGAGAGAUGCGCGAUGCGAUUUUGGAUUUCACUCGCCUGAAUUUUGGCGAUUUUUGGGAAUGGAUUCGGUUAUUUGGAGAAGAAGAACAGUGUUCCAUCGUUUGGG